UAGAGAAUGGCUGAUAGUCCAGGGUGAGCCAGUGUGUCUGUGCAAGCGUGCGUGUGUACGUGCACAUGUGUGCUGCUUAGAGGAACAGCUCAGUGUGGCACUGACCAGCACAGAGCACUCACCCCUUCCCUGGCUGAUGUGAAGGCCCAUCCCUCAGCCCCCUCCCCACAGUCCCUCCUACCCACAUCUCACUUGCCUCUCCUCUUCUGUUCCCCUUUCCCAGCAGCACCUUCGGCUAAGGGGAAAGCGGAGCAAUCAGAGGAAGGUGACCUCCAGGAGCCCCCUGUGUCCCCCAAGCCUCAAGAUGAGCAGAGCAAGAGCCAGAGCCCCAUCCAGCUUGAGGACUCCCCUAAGGCAGGUGGGGAGCAGGAGGAAGAACAGGCCUUCCUGGUCAGC
rnacentral:lncRNA from 1 species